GUCGAGGAUCUUCGGCAAUGGGCGCAAGCCUGACCGAGCGACGCCGCGUGUGCGAUGAAGGCCUUCGGGUUGUAAAGCACUGUCGAGGGGGAGGAAAGCCGCAAGGUCUGACCUAUCCCUGGAGGAAGCACGGGCUAAGUUCGUGCCAGCAGCCGCGGUAAGACGAACCGUGCGAACGUUGUUCGGAAUCACUGGGCUUAAAGGGCGCGUAGGCGGGUUCUCAAGUCAGGGGUGAAAUCUUUCGGCUUAACCGGAAAAGUGCCCCUGAUACUGAGAGUCUCGAGGGAGGUAGGGGCAUGUGGAACUAAUGGUGGAGCGGUGAAAUGCGUAGAUAUCAUUAGGAACGCCGGUGGCGAAAGCGACGUGCUGGACCUCUUCUGACGCUGAGGCGCGAAAGCUAGGGGAGCAAACGGGAUUAGAAACCCCUGUAGUCC
rnacentral:rRNA from 1 species